GAAGAAGAAGCUUGAACAGGAAGCGUGGACAACGUGCUUUUAUUGAAAUUGCCGGUGUGUUAUAUCUACAUUACUAAAGCAGUUCACUAUUAAUUAACGAUGAAGCACACCGAGGAAAAGCAUCUCUCCCUCUUUCUAGACGUUUGCUGCCAAAAUGAGGAGCCGCGUCUUCCGCUGCACACCUCCAUCGCCCUGUUUCUCCUGUCCUACAGCGAGUGCAAGUCUUUCAAAGUUUUCCUCGUCUUCACCAGACCUGCCAGCUCCCAAUCACUGAGGAGUCAGCUGCCAGAGGGUUUGGAAGUGUCUGACGUUCAGUUGGAGGCUCUGCCGCAGUUGGUGAGGGGCUGCCGUCGGCCUGCAGUUCUGGAUGAGACUGGGAUGCUCUGCAGGGCAGGGCUGGCGGUGGUCCUGAGACACGUCAUCAACAAGGCCCUGGAGGCCGACCCUUCUAGAAAGGAUGUGUUGGCACUGCUCGGCUUCAAGAAGACCUGUCUGAAGGCCUGUGCUGAGGUGAGCAAGUGGACCAGACUGUGUGAAAUUGGAAUCCCCUCUGCUGUUGAAGAACACCUCAAAAAUCCCACCAAUCAAUAUCAGCAGCUGCCUCUCUCCAUCCUCACCCUAGAGCGGAGGCUCGCGGAGCCCGUCAAAGUCCACAAUGACGACAAGAUACGGAGACAGAAACUCCAAGAGCAGAGACGGAAUGAAAAGAACGAGUCCCCUGAAGGCAAAGGGAACCCGGACACCGAGUCCAAGCCCGGGCGAUCGCCUCAGGUCAGUGACAGACUUGAGCUCAGGGCGGCUCUGGCCAAGCUGUCCGUGGAUUCAGUUCCAACUAUGACCACCAGAGAGAACUCUGAGAUCAGGAAAGUGAAGACCACAGACCUGCCUCCGCUGCAGCAUGUGUUUGCAGAAGGACUGUACUUCACUCUGACUGACCUGGUGCUGCUGCCAUGCAUCUACCAGUACUUGUGUUCCCUUCAAGCACAUGCUGCGAGCUCUCUGCACCAGCUCCCCCACCUGCUGCGUUGGUACAGCCGUGUUCAGGAGGUACCUGGGGUCCUUCGGGCUGCCAAGGAGUGUGGCAUGGCUCUUUCCAUCCCCCAAGUUCUCAUGUCCAGCCUCCCGGGGCCUUCAGCAGAGGACGUCCAAAGUAGCCUAUUGGAGCUAGAAGAAGACCAGGAGAUGACCGCGCAGCCUCCCUUUGUUGGCGGCCCCAGGCCCACACUGACCAAACUUCAAGAAAGUGGCAUCGAGGCCGUGUUCACGCCUCACCCUUGCCCUGACUGGACCCUCCCAUGGGACAGCUUACCAGGAGCCAUCAGCCCCACUGAAGGGAAAAUGUCAAAUAUCCGCUCAGUCCGGAAGAGGCAACAGCUGAACAACUUGGUUGCCAUGGUUACGGAGCUAGCCAGGCCCGGACACACCAUCGUGGAUUUCUGCAGCGGAACGGGCCAUGUCGGGAUUGUUCUGGCUCACACACUCCCAGAUUGCCAGGUCAUCCUCAUAGAGAACAAAGAAGAGUCGUUGGUCAGGGCUCAGAGUCGUGGCGCUCAGCUCGGUCUGAAAAACAUCGGCUUCAUUCAGGCUAAUUUGGACUACUUCACCGGACCGUUUCACAUUGGGGUUGCCCUCCAUGCAUGUGGCGUUGCAACAGACAUGGUGAUGGAGCAUUGCAUCCAGGCCGAAGCCGAAUUUGUCAUCAGUCCAUGUUGCUACGGCUUCAUCCAAAACGCAAUCAAGUUCACCUUCCCCAAAAGCAAAAGGUUCCAAGAGACCCUGACUCAUAAGGCAGUUACAAGAGGGAGGCUCACUCCCUCCGGUCUCUCAGUCCCUUAUCGCUCAGCACAGACACAGCACUGUACUCGGAGAGGACCCAUCCCAUGAUGAUGUAUGGGACCUGUCAGUGCCCCUGGGGAGAAUCUGUGCAAAAGUUGCUGUAGGGCCUAGCCAUGGCAACCUCAAGAGUUGACUUGUCACAACAACGGGCCACCUCUAACUUCUUUUCCAUUGUGCACUAGAAGAAACUGAUUUUUACAGACGUGGCUUGAGAGUCACAGAAGAUUAUAUGUUAUUUAGAAGACACUGGGCAAUUGUACUGCUUUGUGAUCGUUGUGAUUAUUCUACUGUUUGUCCGAUAGCCCAGCGAGCAAGGGAAAUCACAACUGCCAUUAUUUCUGUCUGGAAAUAGGAAACUAAACAUCUAGCCACUCAGCAGGAGAAAUCUAUAUUCUUUUUAAACCAGCAUAUACAUUAUCUGCCACUUUAAACCCAAGCUCUCAAUCUCCCCUGCCUCCCAUUGUGCUUUUGCUUUCAACAACCAUGUUUGGUAUUUUCUAUUAUUUUUGGACUUCAGCGUACAGCCCACUUCCUGUGUCUCCCACAAUCCCAGCAAAACACUUGCCGAUAUAAAAGAAGCGUUUCAUUGUUUUAUAGCAGAACCAUAGUUGUCCUUCCUGAAGUACAGCAGUUAAACAGAAUGACAGCACAUUGACAAAUGGUGUAUGGCUGGGAUAAAGGACUAAUGGUGUGAGGUAUUGGAGCUCAGCGCUAACUUUAAGCACCUGCUCCGAGGCCUUGCAUUGAGCGUCAACCCCGUGGAGUGAGGAAUUGAAUCAAUUAAAGUAGAAGCAAGUUAGAGCUGACGAACCACUCUCCCCAUUCACUUGUUCCAUGAACCAUAGCGAGGUAGAAACAGAAACUGGAAAUAAGUAACCUGGUUCAGUUGGCCUUUUGGGAUAUUUUAAAGGGCUGAUUUUAUUCAAAGAAUCUAAAGAGCUUACCAUGCAAAUUAAGUCCAGUGACACUGUAAAGAGACAACACACUCUGUCUCUGCGAAGCUGUAUUCUAAUACAAGCGUGCUAUCAUGCUUACAGUAACAAGUAUUACAUGCUGAUUUUACAUUCUUGUUUAAAUAUUUGCCAGUUUCACCUUUGUAGACUGUUAGCAUGCUAACAUCUGCUUAUUAGCGCUAAACACAAACUACAGCUAUGGUCGUUAGUUGCCGGUCGUAAACCAAAGUUUUGGGGAAAUUGAGAGUUUGACCGAAUUUAUUACAUUUGGUUACCAAUUUGAAACAGUUUUCUUGGUAAUCCAUCCAGAAGCCAACCUGCUGGUGGCACUAGAGGAACAGUUAAGGGAUCACAAAGUCAGAAGGACUCAUCCUUUAUGUAAUAUGAAUGUCUGUACAAAAUAUUAUUGCAAUAUAUCCAAUAAUUGUUGAGAUAUUUCAGUCUUGACCAAAGUUGUGGACUGACUGACAUUGCCGAUCCGCUAGUGUGGUUAAAAAAGAUCUGCUGGUGUUUUCCUACCUCUCAGCCAGUGCAUGCUGAGAUAGAUAGAGAUGGAGUAAACCUUAUUGGAUAGAUAAGUAUAACAAAUUCAUGCAUGCCUGUGUGCAUGUGCAUGCAUCAUAGAGUUAGUUUCAUUGAAUGGCUCCUUAUAAAAACUAUCUUUGUAUCCUUUAAAUGCAAGUCUUUAAAUCUUUGCUUGAUCUUGUUCGGGAUUUAGCUGUUAUUGUCGCUAAAAGAAAGAGCUUGUGGUUCUGAGACUUGACGGAUAUCCUCCAGAACUUUAUUUACCUCUUCAAUAAACAGUUCCUGUAUUCAUUGUCCGUCCUUGUUUCAGGAACACAUGAUCCUCUGUCGCUUCGCAGACCAAACUGCCGUCCAGCUCCAUCCUGAAAGGCGACUCAUCGGUAAACAGUGUAUGGGCCUCGUAGACUU